rnacentral:misc_RNA from 1 species
UUUUCAAGGUUCUGGCUGAACAUUAGCUCAGCAGGCUUCUGAAUCGUUAGAAGUUGCUGAACUCAUGCUGUCUUUCUUCUUUGAAGGCAAAACUUUUGACUUCCUGAUGCAGAAGUCUGUUUUUAGAGACGAAACUACCCCAAAAGGUAUCUCUCUCUUGAGCGUUUUGAAGGUGGGCCAUCCUGGACUC